UGUGGGGUGGAUGAAUGAUUGACGGUUGGUUAGAGCAUGGUGCUGGUAACGCUGAGGUUGCAGGUUCGAUCCCUGUGCGGGACAGCUUCAUAU